rnacentral:misc_RNA from 1 species
GCUCAAAACCUCUUUGACAAGGCUGCCUUGAAGUUCCAGGAGGUGGUUGCUUUAGCUUUCUUCAACUGGCGAAACAUUCACAUGUGUGCGGCAGGGAAAAGGAUUCCCUUAGAUGAGUCUGCUGGAAAGGAGGUAGUGUCAGCAUAACUUCAAGUGGCUUAUGACUGGGUCAAGGAGAAAUAUUUUUUGGCAAGAGAGAAGAAGUAGGAGGAGGCGCUCUUGAUGCUAGAACUGGGGUAACAGCAAUUUGAAAUGCCUAAACUUCAUUGGUCAUUUGUGCUUGCUAAGAAAAUAGAUCUAUCUGACUGGGACCCUACAGAAACUCUUACACUUUUUGACAGUGCAGAGGAGAAGAUGA